GAUGAAGAACGUAGUGAAAUGCGAUAAGUAAUGUGAAUUGCAGAAUUCAGUGAAUCAUCGAAUCUUUGAACGCACCUUGCGCCCUUUGGCUAUUCCGAAGGGCAUGCCUGUUUGAGUAUCAUGAACACCUCAACUCUCAUGGUUUGCCAUGAUGAGCUUGGACUUUGGGGGUCUUGCCGGCCUAUGGGUCGGCUCCUCUCAAAUUAAUCAGCUUGCCAGUGUUUGGUGGCAUCACAGGUGUGAUAACUAUCUACGCUUGUGGUUUUCCAUCAGGUAACCUUCAGUGAUGGAGGUUCGCUGGGGCUCAUAAAUGUCUCUCCUCAGUGAGGACAGCUUUUUUGAACGUUUGAUCUCAAAUCAGGUAGGACUACCCGCUGAACUUAAGCAUAUCAAAACGGAGGA
rnacentral:misc_RNA from 1 species